UUCAGACGGGGCGUGACAACAGUGCUGGACAAAGGGACUCCACCUCAUCUAAUUUGCCUUGACACGCUAUAACAAAGGGAUAAUACAGCGCCGAGUGAAAAGGUGGACAGUGAGUUUCGAUGCGCGAGAACAGAAAACAAAGAACAAACGCUACGACGAAGUGACAGAUGAAAAGGCAAGAUUGCUUCGAUGUUUAUGGUACUCAGCGGCACUUCACAUCAGAGGGACGGAGCUGCGCGUUGCCUUAGUGCUCAUCUCCGUCACAUCUACUUAAUUAGACUCCCGAAGCUAACGUGUUGAUAGACUCCGCAUCAUGUCGACGUUUUCCCACACACCUAUGAGACAACAGGGAAGAAGAGACUUGUCAAUCCGAAGCAUCUGCAAGCCCCUGAUGGUUCGAAGGCGAGUCAUUGGGUCGUCGUCACGUAGGAGAGCCUCUGAAUGAAGCAGCAACAGUAGCAGUAUCAAUUGCAUGGCAGGGGGAAUGAGCUGUUAUCUUCCCGCGUCCUGGAAAAAGAAAGGAAUAAGUGGAAUGGAACGUAAGUGGAACGUCUACAAAUCCUCAACGGCAGAGAUAACGAGGCACAUAAACCAUCUCUCCCUGGAAUAAAGGAUCGGCAGCACGAAUCGACUCUGCGCAUUUGUUUUAAUUUCAUUCCCUUUUCUUCAUGCGGCGCUGGAGGAAUGGUGACCAGAGAAGCUGACGAAAGUGGAUGGUUUGGCGUACGGGACUCUGUGAGGACCUUGGUCAAGAAGAGUUCAAGCAGCCAGUGGAGUGAACAGCCUUCUGUCACCCUACCCUGCCAAGCGCUCGCGUGCCUGCUGUCGGAAUUUACAAUAAAAAUCCUGC